GAAGGUAUAGCUCAAUGACAGAGUGCCUGCUUGGCAUGCACAAGGUCCUGGGCUCAAUCCCUAGUGCCUCUG
rnacentral:tRNA from 1 species